rnacentral:rRNA from 1 species
AGCGAACGCUGGCGGCAGGCCUAACACAUGCAAGUCGAACGAACCUUUCGGGGUUAGUGGCGGACGGGUGAGUAACACGUGGGAACGUGCCUUUAGGUUCGGAAUAACUCAGGGAAACUUGUGCUAAUACCGAAUGUGCCCUUCGGGGGAAAGAUUUUUCGCCUUUAGAGCGGCCCGCGUCUGUUUAGCUAGUUGGUUGAGGUAAUGGCUCACCAGGGCGACGAUCAGUAGCUGGUCUGAGAGGAUGAUCAGCCACAUUGGGACUGAGACACGGUCCAAACUCCUACGGGAGGCAGCAGUGGGGAAUCUUGCGCAAUGGGCGAAAGCCUGACGCAGCCAUGCCGCGUGAAUGAUGAAGGUCUUAGGAUUGUAAAAUUCUUUCACCGGGGACGAUAAUGACGGUACCCGGAGAAGAAGCCCCGGCUAACUUCGUG